CCUAACCUGAUUUUGAAUAUGCUCAAACAGAUAUUUAUUUGCUGGAGCCUGGACGUUAGCCAGUCUGCUCAUAUACCACUGCACGUAUAGCAGAUAGCAGUGGGGGAUGCCCGGGGAUAUAGGCACGACAGUAUUUGCAAGCAGUUAAUCACUUAUUAGUUUAGCAUGUUCUUAUUAUUUGAGUUAAUUUUACACAACAGGGAACUACUGAGCCUGCGAAAUCACCCUAUACAAAACUUGCUCACUUAACCUAUUACAAUUAGUCAAUGUUAAGCGACUUAAAUUGCAUAUUGCCUAAACCUGUUUACAAAAGCAACAUUAAACCAUAAAACAUAAAAAGAGGUACAAAUAUUAAGGAAAUGUUAGAUACCACUGUUAUUGAGCCCUGUACUGUAUUCUAAAUGCACGUUUCCCUCUCUCUAUUCUGUAUCCCAUCUAAUAUGCCUCAAUAAAAUACAGAUUGACAAAAAAAAA